rnacentral:rRNA from 1 species
GUGCCAGCAGCCGCGGUAAUACGCAGAGGGCAAGCGUUGUCCGGAAUCAUUGGGCGUAAAGGGUACGCAGGUGGAUAUGCAAGUCAAAUGUGAAAGGUAUCGGCUUAACCGAUAGAGUGCAUUUGAAACUGUAUAUCUUGAGUACAGCAGAGGAGAACGGAAUUCCUGGAGUAGCGGUGAAAUGCGUAGAUAUCAGGAAGAACACCAGUGGCGAAAGCGGUUCUCUGGGCUGUUACUGACGCUGAGGUACGAAAGCGGGGGCAGCGAACGGGAUUAGAUACCCGGGUAGUCC